rnacentral:rRNA from 1 species
UACGUAGGGUGCGAGCGUUAAUCGGAAUUACUGGGCGUAAAGUGUGCGCAGGCGGCGCUGCAAGUCGAGUGUGAAAUCCCCGAGCUUAACUUGGGAAUUGCGCUCGAAACUACGGCGCUGGAGUAUGGCAGAGGGAAGUGGAAUUCCACGUGUAGCGGUGAAAUGCGUAGAGAUGUGGAGGAACACCGAUGGCGAAGGCAGCUUCCUGGGCCAACUACGUGACGCUCAUGCACGAAAGCGUGGGGAGCAAACAGG